rnacentral:rRNA from 1 species
GUAGGUGGCAAGCGUUAUCCGGAAUUAUUGGGCGUAAAGCGCGCGUAGGCGGUUUUUUAAGUCUGAUGUGAAAGCCCACGGCUCAACCGUGGAGGGUCAUUGGAAACUGGAAAACUUGAGUGCAGAAGAGGAAAGUGGAAUUCCAUGUGUAGCGGUGAAAUGCGCAGAGAUAUGGAGGAACACCAGUGGCGAAGGCGACUUUCUGGUCUGUAACUGACGCUGAUGUGCGAAAGCGUGGGGAUCAAACAGGAUUAGAUACCCUGGUAGUCCACGCCGUAAACGAUGAGUGCUAAGUGUUAGUGGGUUUCCGCCCCUUAGUGCUGCAGCUAACGCAUUAAGCACUCCGCCUGGGGAGUACGACCGCAAGGUUG